CCUACGGGGGGCAGCAGUGGGGGAUAUUGCACAAUGGGGGAAACCCUGAUGCAGCGACGCCGCGUGAGUGAAGAAGUAUUUCGGGAUGUAAAGCUCGAUCAGCAGGGAAGAAAAAAGACGGUACCGGACGAAGAAGCCCGGCUAACUACGUGCCAGCAGCCGCGGUAAUACGAAGGGGGCAAGCGUUAUCCGGAGUUACUGGGUGUAAAGGGAGCGUAGACGGCACUACAAGUCGGAAGUGAAAUACCCGGGCUCCACCUGGGAACUGCUUUGGAAACUGUAUGGCUAGAGUGCUGGAGAGGUAAGCGGACUUCCUAGUGUAGCGGUGACCUGCGUAGCUAUUCGGAGGAACACCAGUGGCGAAGGCGGCUUACUGGACAGUAACUGACGUUGCGGCUCGACAGCGUGGGGCGCAAACAGGAUUAGAUACCCGUGUAGUC
rnacentral:rRNA from 1 species